rnacentral:rRNA from 1 species
GACGAACGCUGGCGGCAGGCUUAACACAUGCAAGUCGAACGCCCCGCAAGGGGAGUGGCAGACGGGUGAGUAACGCGUGGGAAUCUACCUAGUUCUACGGAACAACAGUUGGAAACGACUGCUAAUACCGUAUACGCCCUACGGGGGAACGAUUUAUCGGAAUUAGAUGAGCCCGCGUAAGAUUAGCUAGUUGGUGAGGUAAUGGCUCACCAAGGCGACGAUCUUUAGCUGGUCUGGGAGGAUGAUCAGCCACACUGGGACUGGGACACGGCCCAGACUCCUACGGGAGGCAGCAGGGGGGAAGAUUGGACAAUGGGCGCAAGCCUGAUCCAGCCAUGCCGCGUGAGUGAUGAAGGCCGUAGGGUUGUAAAGCUCUUUCACCGAUGAAGAUAAUGACGGUAGUCGGAGAAGAAGCCCCGGCUAACUUCGUGCCAGCCGCCGCCGUAACAC